rnacentral:tRNA from 2 species
UCCCCGAUAGCUCAAUGGUAGAGCGGGCGGCUGUUAACCGCUAGGUUCUAGGUUCGAGUCCUAGUCGGGGAGCCA